rnacentral:rRNA from 3 species
ACGGGUGAGUAAUACCUAGGAAUCUGCCUGGUAGUGGGGGACAACGUUUCGAAAGGAACGCUAAUACCGCAUACGUCCUACGGGAGAAAGCAGGGGACCUUCGGGCCUUGCGCUAUCAGAUGAGCCUAGGUCGGAUUAGCUAGUUGGUGAGGUAAUGGCUCACCAAGGCUACGAUCCGUAACUGGUCUGAGAGGAUGAUCAGUCACACUGGAACUGAGACACGGUCCAGACUCCUACGGGAGGCAGCAGUGGGGAAUAUUGGACAAUGGGCGAAAGCCUGAUCCAGCCAUGCCGCGUGUGUGAAGAAGGUCUUCGGAUUGUAAAGCACUUUAAGUUGGGAGGAAGGGCAGUAAGCGAAUACCUUGCUGUUUUGACGUUACCGACAGAAUAAGCACCGGCUAACUCUGUGCCAGCAGCCGCGGUAAUACAGAGGGUGCAAGCGUUAAUCGGAAUUACUGGGCGUAAAGCGCGCGUAGGUGGUUCGUUAAGUUGGAUGUGAAAUCCCCGGGCUCAACCUGGGAACUGCAUCCAAAACUGGCGAGCUAGAGUAGGGCAGAGGGUGGUGGAAUUUCCUGUGUAGCGGUG